GUUGGGCUGUUCGCCCAUUAAAGUGGCACGCGAGCUGGGUUCAGAACGUCGUGAGACAGUUCGGUCCAUAUCCGGUGUAGGCGUUAGAAUAUUGAGAGGAGCCUUCUCUAGUACGAGAGGACCGAGAAGGACAUACCUCUGGUGUACCAGUUAUCGUGCCAACGGUAAACGCUGGGUAGCUAUGUAUGGAGUGGAUAACCGCUGAAAGCAUCUAAGUGGGAAGCCCACCUCAAGAUAAGUAUUCUCAUCACGUAAGUGAGUAAGGUCACGGUAAGACUAACCGUUUGAUAGGCAUUAAGUGUAAGUACAGUAAUGUAUGUGCUGAGAUGUCCUAACAGACCGAGGACUUG
rnacentral:rRNA from 1 species